CGGGGCGUGGCGCAGUCCGGUAGCGCGUCCGCUUUGGGAGCGGAAGGCCCCCGGUUCGAAUCCGGGCGCCCCGA
rnacentral:tRNA from 1 species